CAAGAAAAACCCACAUGAGUCUCCUUUCUUCUCUCGUCGCCUACUCAGGUGAUCCCUGAUUACCUGUCGUCGAUAGCUCGCCGCUGACUUCUAUUGUCGGAUACCGUCGCACCCAACAACACCGGCGACCAUUGCAUACCACAGAUUCUAUUCGAUUCAGUCAGGUGAUGAACGUGGUUUCAGAGUUCUUAUAAAUGUUGAUAGCUUUGGUGCUGUUGGAGAUGGAGUUUCUGAUGACACAAAGGAUGCCUUUAGAGAUUCAUGGAAGGAAUCGUGGUUUACAGAUUGCAUUCGCGGGAAGCAGUGCAAUAUAUAAUGAUAUAUGCAUGAGAACUCAACUGUAAAAAUGGAAGAACAAGACUCGGAAGAAGAACAAGGAUCUCCAUGUGGAUAUGAUUCAAAGUGUCAUCUAACAACUCUUAUAUCAGGUCAAUCAAAAUUGAUAAUGGAAAACAUAGAAGUCUGGAGAUUACAAGGACUCAAACGUGCGGUUAAACACACACACACACACACACACACACACACACAUAUAUAUAUAUAUAUAUAUAUAUAUAUAUAUAUAUAUAUAUAUAUAUAUAUAUGCAAAUAAAACUUGAAAGUAUUGCUGAUUUUGCAAUUGCUUCCUAUUUUAAAUCUAAGGUACUUUAAGACGUUUAAUUCACUUUAAACGGUAAUUCACUUUAAAAUGUGCAUAUACAUCAUACAUAUUCGUUAUAUCAUGUAUAAUUAUAUUUAAAGACAUUAAUCAUUCAUAUGGUUGAAGAAUAUGGUUGUUAUUUCUGUACUCUUUUGAUAACGUUAUUUUAUUAGUAUACAUAGUUUGAAAAUGAUGAAUGAUGAAUAUAUAAUAGAACGAGGGAAAAUAUAGACAUAUAACACUCAGUCUCUCAAGAUAUAGCUAACAUGAUUUUUAUUUUUAAUCUUCAAAACCAUAAACAUUGUUUUCCUAACCUAAUCAAAGUAUUAAACCAAAUAUUUGAGAAAGAACUUUAAACAAAAUUAAAAAGAAUACAAACAGAUAAAACAUUUUUAACAUUCAAGGAUGAAAUCGAAAACAACCUACAAACUUUUCAGAACUUUUUAAAGUAAAAUAUGAGUAGAUCUAAAAGCUUUUCACAACAAUUAUGAGAAUGUAAAUGUAGAUACCCUAAUUUGGAACACAUAGCUCUCACUACAAUCGUUGAAUAUCAUAUGUCUAUUAGUUGUGAAUAAUAAAUCCAAUUAUUUUUUAUAUUUUUUUUGGAAAGGAAGCUUAACUAACGAGGGUACCGGACCAGCUUUCGCGCAUCAAUUAAUCCCCCGUUGCAAACAUGAGCCUAUGUCUCAUGCCUUGGAGUCACUGUAGACGAGCCUUCAUGACCACAAAGUAUGAGUAGUACCAGAAUUUAAACAAGGUCAAUAUGUUAUCUACCAUAUUUUCCACGUGUUUUACCAAGUCACCACAACCCAAAUAGUUAAUGUUGUGGGUAGAAAUUUGACUUACUACUUUUAUACCUUGAACCUGUACUAACAUCCCACGCAAGCCCAAGAUCUAAGAUUUAUUUUGUAUCUUGGCCUGCCAUCGUAUUUCUUGUGAUAUUGUGUGCAUGGACUUAAGGCUUGAUGGAAAAAAUAAUAGACCAAGUCAAAUAGAUGUGGCCAAUGCUUCAUGAACGUUGAAGACUCUCGAGAAAGUCGUGUCAAACAAAGAUCAAAGAUAAUCCCAUGAAUGUCAGAAUUUUAGGUAUUCUUGUUAUGUAUAUAAAGACUAGUUGAUCGAUGCACACAUAGAGACUUCAACUAAUUCUUAUUCUUUA